rnacentral:rRNA from 1 species
UACAGAGGGUGCAAGCGUUAAUCGGAAUUACUGGGCGUAAAGCGCGCGUAGGCGGCUGAUUAAGUCGGGUGUGAAAGCCCCGGGCUCAACCUGGGAAUUGCAUCCGAUACUGAUUGGCUAGAGUAUGAGAGAGGGAGGUAGAAUUCCACGUGUAGCGGUGAAAUGCGUAGAUAUGUGGAGGAAUACCGGUGGCGAAGGCGGCCUCCUGGCUUAAUACUGACGCUGAGGUGCGAAAGCGUGGGGAUCAAAACAGG